rnacentral:rRNA from 1 species
AACUCUCAACGACGGAUAUCUUGGGCUCUCGCAACGAUGAAGAACGCAGCGAAAUGCGAUACGUAGUGUGAAUUGCAGAAUUCCGUGAACCAUCGAAUUUUUGAACGCAUAUUGCGCUCAAGGCUUCGGCCAAGAGCAUGUCUGCCUCAGCGUCG